AGCCAAGCCCUGUGCAACUUCUUGUUGGACAACCCUGCCAGGUCCGGAAGGAAGCAACAGCCUCCAAACAAAAGUGUGAUGCAGUAAGCUUGGCUUUU
rnacentral:SRP_RNA from 1 species